rnacentral:lncRNA from 1 species
CCCCAAACCAGCACAGGACAGGAUUUAAAGCUGAAUUCAGCCCCAGACCAGCACGGGCCAGAACCCAAAGCCCGGGCUCCAUGGCGGUGCCCGUUCCCAGCGGGAGGAGCCCCGGGAUGGUGCCGGGCGCCCCCCAGCCCCGGGGUGACCCCUGUCCCCCCAGCCGAGCUCUCCAGCCUGCUGGGGCGCAGCAUCAGCUACGAGCUGCCGGCGCUGCGGCGGCAGCGGGGCCGGUGGCUGCAGGCGCAGCAGGAGCUGGCGCGGCGCGAGGACGAGUGCCAGGCACGGGCAGCGGAGCUCCGCGAGCGCUUCCUGGGCUCCUGCCGCCAGUACGGCAUCGCCGGCGAGGACGUGCGCCGGGAGCUGCUGGCCCAGGUGCAGGCGCUGCCGUCGCUGCUGUCCCGCGUUGGGGACGGUGCCAGCGCCCUCGGGGACGCCAUCGAGCUGUACCAGGCCUGCGUGGGCUUCGUGUGCGACAGCCCCGGUGCGGAGGCGCUGCCGCUGCUCCGGCACGUGGUGGCCCACGGGAACUCGUCCGUGUUCCGCUGGCGCACGGGGCAGGAGCCGCUGCGGCUGGAGCGGCCCGAGGCGGCCCCGCAGGCACCGGAGCCGCCCCCGCAGGACACGGUGCGUGCUGGCAGGGGCA